UACGAAGGGGGCUAGCGUUGCUCGGAAUCACUGGGCGUAAAGCGCACGUAGGCGGCUUUUUAAGUCAGACGUGAAAUCCCCAGGCUCAACCUGGGAACUGCGUCUGAUACUGGAUGGCUUGAAUCCGGGAGAGGGAUGCAGAAUUCCAGGUGUAGCGGUGAAAUGCGUAGAUAUCUGGAGGAAUACCGGUGGCGAAGGCGGCAUCCUGGACCGGCAUUGACGCUGAGGAGCGAAAGCCAGGGGAGCAAACGGG
rnacentral:rRNA from 1 species